GAUGAACGCUGGCGGCGUGCCUAAUACAUGCAAGUCGAGCGAACAGACGAGGAGCUUGCUCCUCUGACGUUAGCGGCGGACGGGUGAGUAACACGUGGAUAACCUCCCUAUAAGACUGGGUUAACUUCGGGAAACCGGAGCUAAUACCGGAUAAUAUAUUGCACCGCAUGGUUCAAUAGUGAAAGACGGUUUUGAUGUCACUUAUAGAUGGUUCCGCGCCGUAUUAGCUAGUUGGUAAGGUAACGGCUUACCAAGGCAACGAUGCGUAGCCGACGUGAGGGGGUGGUCGGCCACACUGGAACUGAGACACGGUCCAGACUCCUACGGUAGGCAGCAGUAGGGAAUCUUCCGCAAUGGGCGAAAGCUUGACGGAGCAGCGCCGCGUGAGUGAUGAAGGUCUUCGGAUCGUAAAACUCUGUUAUUAGGGAAGAACAAAUGUGUAAGUAACUAUGCACGUCUUGACGGUACCUAAUCAGAAAGCCACGGCUAACUACGUG
rnacentral:rRNA from 1 species